rnacentral:rRNA from 1 species
AGAGUUUGAUUAUGGCUCAGGAUGAACGCUGGCGGCGUGCUUAACACAUGCAAGUCGAGCGAAGCACUUAAGAAAGAUUCUUCGGAUGAAUUCUUUGGUGACUGAGCGGCGGACGGGUGAGUAACGCGUGGGUAACCUGCCUCAUACAGGGGGAUAACAGUUAGAAAUGACUGCUAAUACCGCAUAAGCGCACAGUGCUGCAUGGCACAGUGCGAAAAACUCCGGUGGUAUGAGAUGGACCCGCGUUGGAUUAGGCAGUUGGCGGGGUAACGGCCCACCAAACCGACGAUCCAUAGCCGGCCUGAGAGGGUGAACGGCCACAUUGGGACUGAGACACGGCCCAA